UGGGGAAUUUUGGACAAUGGGCGAAAGCCUGAUCCAGCAAUGCCGCGUGUGUGAAGAAGGCCUUCGGGUUGUAAAGCACUUUUGUCCGGAAAGAAAUCCUUGGCUCUAAUACAGUCGGGGGAUGACGGUACCGGAAGAAUAAGCCCGGCUAACUACGUGCCAGCAGCCGCGGUAAUACGUAGGGUGCAAGCGUUAAUCGGAAUUACUGGGCGUAAAGCGUGCGCAGGCGGUUUGCUAAGACCGAUGUGAAAUCCCCGGGCUCAACCUGGGAACUGCAUUGGUGACUGGCAGGCUAGAGUAUGGCAGAGGGGGGUAGAAUUCCACGUGUAGCAGUGAAAUGCGUAGAGAUGUGGAGGAAUACCGAUGGCGAAGGCAGCCCCCUGGGCCAAUACUGACGCUCAUGCACGAAAGCGUGGGGAGCAAACAGGAUUAGAUACCCUGGUAGUCCACGCCCUAAACGAUGUCAACUAGUUGUUGGGGGAUUCAUUUCCUUAGUAACGUAGCUAACGCGUGAAGUUGACCGCCUGGGGAGUACGGUCGCAAGAUUAAAACUUAAAUGAAUUGACGGGGUCAUAGCUGUUUCCU
rnacentral:rRNA from 1 species